rnacentral:rRNA from 1 species
UACGUAGGGUGCGAGCGUUGUCCGGAAUUAUUGGGCGUAAAGAGCUCGUAGGCGGUCUGUUGCGUCCGCUGUGAAAACUCGGGGCUUAACCCCGAGCCUGCAGUGGAUACGGGCAGACUAGAGGUAGGUAGGGGAGAAUGGAAUUCCCGGUGUAGCGGUGAAAUGCGCAGAUAUCGGGAGGAACACCGGUGGCGAAGGCGGCUCUCUGGGACGGUACUGACGCUGAGACGCGAAAGCGUGGGGAGCGAACAGG